UAACCAGACUCCUACGGGAGGCAGCAGUGGGGAAUAUUGCACAAUGGGGGAAACCCUGAUGCAGCGACGCCGCGUGAGUGAAGAAGUAUUUCGGUAUGUAAAGCUCUAUCAGCAGGGAAGAAAAUGACGGUACCUGAUUAAGAAGCCCCGGCUAACUGCGUGCCAGCAGCCGCGGUAAUACGUAGGGGGCGAGCGUUAUCCGGAUUCACUGGGGGUAAAGGGAGCGUAGACGGCCAUGCAAGCCAGGGGUGAAAGCCCGGGGCCCAACCCCGGGACUGCCCUUGGAACUGUGCGGCUAGAGUGCGGGAGGGGCAGGCGGAAUUCCUGGUGUAGCGGUGAAAUGCGUAGAUAUCAGGAGGAACACCGGCGGCGAAGGCGGCCUGCUGGACCGCGACUGACGUUGAGGCUCGAAAGCGUGGGGAGCGAACAGGAUUAGAUACCCGCGUACG
rnacentral:rRNA from 1 species